CAAACAUGAGAAAGAACUGAUGAAAAUAGCUAUUCUUCCAGGAUUAACAUGGACAGGAUGUUUUGUUAUCCAUAUGAUAAUCCAAAUUAUAAAAUAUACCUAUAUAUAUGUAUAUGAAUGUUAUUUAAGAUACAGUUUAGAAGAUAUUUUUGUCUGCAUAAGCCCACAUUGGACUAUGUUAAUCCUGACGGAAUAAAUACCACCUACCGCCCCCUCCCCUUUUAUUACUAUUUGGUUUAUCAUUCAUAAGCAAUUUCUUAAAAAAAAUCCAAAGAGAAUAAGCAUCAAUCAUCUCUUCAUUCAAAAAAAAAAAAAAAUAACAAGUUACCAAACUGGUAACUAAAAUCAGAACAGGGCAUGUCUUUAUACCAUAAAAAAAAAACAUAAACUCUUUUGUUUACUACAACAAUUGGCCUAGUAUUUUUUGGAAAUACUUAGCCACUGAAAAUAUACUUCCUAUUGUUGAUCAAACAUAUCGAGUAUAAAAUGGCUUUCAAUUGACAUCAAUUUAUCAGUGCCAAUAGUUCCCUCUGAAAAAAUCAAUCAUAAUGAAAGUAGGCUCCCGAAGAUUAAUUAUUGUUCAUUAAUAGGCUGGACUUGUAGGAGUACAGAAUGCAGUAACUUACUCCGCUGGAGUUGCAGUCCCAUCUGUUUACAACGCACAAUUGGCUUACAAUGCUCCUUUGAC